CGCGUAGGCGGGUACAUAGGUCGGACGUGAAAGGCAAGGGCUCAACCGUUGCAAGCGUUCGAAACGGUGUACCUUGAGUCCAGUAGAGGGAAGUGGAAUUUCUGGUGGAGCGGUGGAAUGCGUAGAGAUCAGAAGGAACACCGGUGGCGAAGGCGACUUCCUGGACUGGUACUGACGCUGAGGGGCGAAGGCGUGGGUAGCAAACA
rnacentral:rRNA from 1 species